AUCAAGAUGAGCCGCUACCGUGACAACUUCGUCAACGCUGGAUUUGCUUCUUUUGACCUGGUGGCCCAGAUGACAGCAGAGGACUUGCUGCGGAUAGGGGUAACAUUGGCUGGUCACCAAAAGAAGAUUCUGGGUAGCAUUCAGGACAUGAGACUACAGAUGAACCAAACACUUCCUGUCCAGGUGUGAGCAGCAGGAUAUACAAGCCGAUGCAGUUGAAGGACAGCCAGACAGGAAAAGGGGAGAAACUGCUAGAGAGGGCCACUGGAAAACCCUUGCUGCCUGACCCAUCUCUGCUGAUCGGACAGUAUGAAACUGGCUUGCAGUGCCUCUGAAUAUUUUUUUUCUUUAUUUCAUUACCACUUACAUUUCCUCUUCCUGCCUUUUUUUGUGUCAUGUUUCUCAUUCCCCCCCCCCCCCCCCCCCCCCCCCCCCCCCAGCCCCAAAAAUGUGUGUUUUUGAAAGAACGAGGAAAAAGCGUUAUAUCCCAUGCGUGCCUCACCAGCUCUGGAGUGGGUUGAUGUCUGCAUGCAUGUGUGUUUUUGAGUCAAGUUGGCCUUAGUCCUGUAACUGAAUCGUCAUCUCUGAUAGUCGUUCAAGAGCCCUUCUCCUUGACCCCUUAGCCCAGCUCUGCUGGAUGUAAAACCUAGAAGAACUACAGAAAAAAAAGAGAGAGAGAGAGAGAGAAUUUCCACAUAUGUUGAAAAGUCAGAUGUGGAUCAGACCACAAGAGAGAGGAGAUGAGUCUCCCCCGACAGAAGUUGUGUUGUUGUGCGCUUGUGUUGUUCUCCAUCUUCAUAUUGAAGGUGUGUCAUUUAAAAGGGCACUCACAGAGAAGGUUAAUGUGGUUCAAGAAGGACACAUAAUGGGCUGCGUUCAAAGGUCAAGAGGAUGACAGAAGGUCAAAGAGGACUAAGGAAGGCGGCCCCAAUUGUGGACACUUGUUUUGGCUGCUGGAUCUUCCGUAGAUAUCCAGACUCUUCAUUCUGACCUGAAGUGACUCAGGAUAGUUUCACAGCUUGGGAUCCCCUUUUCAUCAAUUGUGUUUUUUACACAUGCAAACAUUUUUAUUUUUGUUUGUCCACACUACAUUUUUCGUUUUAAUUUUUUGUUUUUUCAUUCUUUUUUGGCUUUCGUACACAUUUUGGAAAAUUUGUGGAUUCAAAUGGCCGGUCAAACUGAAGUACCCCCUCCUCCUUCCUUACUGGACGCUUCACGUGAUUUGAGGACGGGAGGGGUUGAUGAGGACUGGGCAACAAUAUGGGAAGAAAACUUGGCCUUUUGUGUGCAUUUUUGUAUUCUUGUGUGCAGGUAUGUAUGCGUGUGCAUGUGUGAUUUAGUGUGCCUGGUUGUGUGGGUGAGUCAAGUUGCACACAAUUAUACUGUACAAUACAGCUUCCGCUAUUUGCCACCGUGGAGAAUUAACGCAUGAACUGAAUUGUGAUAAGGAGCAAAUAUAUCUGAAACAAUUAUGCUAUAUUAUGUGGACAACUGUUAAACAUUCUUUUUUAAUGAAUCCCUGAAAGGACUUUGGACAGACAUGUGCACAUGUACACACACACACACACACACACACACACACACACACACACACACACACACACACACACACACACACACACACACACGUCAUGAUGGACACCUUAUUUUUAAUUACUAUUAUCUGGAUUUAGAAAUAAUCAAAGUCCUUGUUUUAAUUUCUUGACAUUCUGGUCUAUGUAUUUAUUUGUACCUCACACUCAGACCCCCUCCCCACCAGACCUCUCCCCUACCAAUACCCAGAAGGACUUCAGGCCAAUUGGUACAGUGGACUUGGAACAAUCAGAAGGAAGAGAAACUCCAUGAGGAUUCACCUAAUGAAUUGAUGAUUAUUAAACAAAAAAAAAAAGUGCAUAUAAAUUGGAUAUUGUAUUUUUGUUGUUGUUCUAAACAGCCUGUACAUGUUUUGUAACAAAAAUGAGAUAACAAAAGAAAAAUUGUGUUUUGACAAAA